rnacentral:rRNA from 1 species
AGCGAACGUUAGCGGCGGGCCUAACACAUGCAAGUCGAACGCGAAAGGUCUUCGGACUGAGUAGAGUGGCGCACGGGUGAGUAACACGUAGGUAAUCUACCCUUUGGCGGGGGAUAACGUUCCGAAAGGAGCGCUAAUACCGCAUAAGACCACGGAGUCUCCGGACGCUGUGGGAAAAGGUGGCCUCUUCUUGAAAGCUACCACCGAAGGAUGAGCCUGCAUCCCAUCAGCUAGUUGGUAAGGUAAUGGCUUACCAAGGCGAAGACGGGUAGCUGGUUUGAGAGAAUGAUCAGCCACACUGGCACUGGAACACGGGCCAGACUCCUACGGGAGGCAGCAGUGAGGAAUAUUGGGCAAUGGGCGAAAGCCUGACCCAGCCACGCCGCGUGAGUGAUGAAGGCCCUCGGGUCGUAAAGCUCUGUGGAGAGGGACGAAAACCCUGGUUUCAAAUAGGCUCCAGGCUUGACGGUACCUCUUUAGCAAGCACCGGCUAACUCUGUGCCAGCAGCCG